rnacentral:rRNA from 1 species
AUGGCUGUUUCUGCACUCAUUGAUUUCGUAACUAGUACUGUGGCAUCCCACUUAUGGAACCCUGUGAUUACACGUAUGAGAUGCAUAAUAGAGAAGGAAGAAAAUAUUGGCAAGCUCGACAGCACUAUAAGGAAUCUAGAAGCCAGGAAGCAGGAAAUCCAAAUCCGUCUUAUGAACUCCGAAAGGAAGCAAGAAACAUGUAACCCUGAAGUUGCAGAAUGGCUAGAAAAGGUGGCAGAAAUAGAAAGUGAAGUGAAUGAGAUGAAACAUGGGCAGAGGAAGAGAAGGGCCCAGUCUUUCAGUUAUUGGUCAAAUUAUGAAACCAGCAUGCAGGCUGCCAAGAAACUCAAGGAAGCUCAGAUGUUGCAUGAGAAGGGAUCCUUCAAACAGGUGUCGAUCGAGGUUCCACCAUGUUUCGUGCAAGAAAUUCCUACUGUACCUUCAACACAAGGAACUGACUGUAACUUAAGCAGAGUUCUCCAAUACCUCAAAGAUGACAGAGUUGCAAUUGUAGGGGUAUGGGGAAUGGGAGGAGUUGGUAAGACCACUUUGCUCAGGAAAAUCAACAAUCACUUCUUGGGUGUAAUCGAAGAAGACUAUGGAUAUGACCUUGUUAUAUAUGUUGUGGCUUCUAAGGCGUGUCGAAUAGGUCAGCUUCAAGCAGACAUCUCUGAAAAGAUUGGACUCUUCCUGAAACCAGGCUCUAGCAUUGAAACACGAGCUUCAUUCAUGUUAAGUUUCUUAAGACGAAAGAAGUUCUUGCUCCUGCUAGAUGAUUUAUGGAAUUAUUUGGAUCUAGCAGAAGCUGGUAUUCCAUAUCCUAAUGGCCUGAAUAAACAGAACGUAGUUCUUGCAACACGUUUUGAGAGUGUUUGUGGACAUAUGGAUGCUCACAAUAGGGUCUUCCUGGAAUGCUUGGACCAAGAAGAAGCUUGGAAAUUGUUCAAAGAAAAAGUAUCAGAAGAAACCAUUAAUUCAGAUCCUAGGAUUGAAAAGUUAGCACAUGUAGUUGCAGAAGAAUGUGGGGGCUUGCCCCUUGCUCUUGUAACUAUCGGCCGUGCAAUGUCUACAAAGAAGUCUUAUCAUGAAUGGGCACUUGCUUUGUCAUUUCUGAAGAAGUCCCGCAUUCAUGAGAUCCCAAAUAUGGGGAAUGUUGGCCACCUAUACACUAGGUUAAAGAUAAGUUAUGAUUAUCUGCAGGAUAAGCAGAUCAAAGAAUGCUUCUUAUGUUGUUCUUUGUGGCCUGAAGAUUACUCAAUUUGGAAAGUUGAACUCAUAGACUGUUGGAUGGGGAUGGGUUUGAUAGAGUAUGAUACCAUGGAAGAAGGAUACCACAAGGGUUACUCCAUUAUUGAGUACUUGAAGGAUGUGUGCUUGUUAGAAACCGGCUACUUGGAAGAUAGUGAGGUGAGAGUACAUGACAUUAUCCGAGACAUGUCACUGUGGAUAUCUUCUGAUUGCAGUAAGGAGCACAUGAAAUGGAUUGUUCAAGCUGGGAUAGGACUUUAUAAUAUUUCUAAUACGGACAUUGAAACAUUUAGGUCGGCCAGAAAGAUAUCUCUAAUGUGCAAUUACAUCACCGAACUUCCUCAGGCCUUGAACUGUCCAAACCUCCAGUUUCUGUCACUACAACAGAAUUUUCGGCUCAAGGUCAUACCCCCUUCUUUUUUGAAGAGCAUAUUAUCUGUGACCUACUUGGAUUUGUCCUGGGUUCCCAUCAAGGAACUUCCACAAGAAAUUGGCAUGCUGGUUGAACUCCAAUAUCUCACACUGAAGCAAACACACAUUAGAUUAUUGCCUAUUGCUAUUGGGCUACUAAGAAAGUUAAAGUUCCUGGACAUGAGCUAUAUGGAUUUCUUGGAGAAGAUACCCUAUGGUGUUUUUACAAAUUUGUCAAUGCUACAGGUUUUAAACCUAUAUGGUAGCAGGUAUGCUGGCCGCGAAGCAGAUUUUGAUCCAGCAAACCACAUGGAUUAUGAUGAGUUUAGUGUCGAAGAAUUAUCUUGCUUAAGUCUAGGAAUAACAGCAAAGAGAGUGAGUACUCUGCAGAGGCUUUUUGAUGUACCUGGAGUCCACUUGAGAUGCCUUGGUUUAUAUGAAUUGAAUGGAGAGAGAUCUCUUACUCUCACCUUAACGGAAAGUAUCCUUGUUCUGAAUGUAAUGGGCUGUUCUGAUUUAGAGGACUUCUGCAUUAUGAACAAGCCACAAUGUUAUGAAGACCAUCUUUCAAGGCUGGAGUACCUAACCUUUUGGGAUCUUCCUCGACUUGAGAUGAUUAGGAUGGAGCAUCUUCAGAACCUUCGCGUCCUUACGGUGGGGAGAACUUAUCAACUGUUAGACCUGUCCUGCAUUUUAAAGCUACCGUAUCUGGAGCAUUUGAAUGUGUCUUGCUGUGAUAAAAUGAAGCAGAUAGUUGAUAUACAAAAUGUUAUUGACACAGAAGGAAGAUAUGAAACACCGAUUCAGGCAUUUCGGCAACUGAGAGUUUUGCAAUUAAAUUCGUUGCAAAGCUUGGAUAGCUUAUGUAAUUCUAAAUUGAAUUUUCCUUCUUUGGAAUACAUUGAUGUGUUUGCUUGCCCGAAGAUGAAGAAACUACCUUUUGAGCAAAUUGGUAAACUGAAGAGGAUCAGAGGGGAGCAAACAUGGUGGGAUAAUCUCGAGUGGGACGAUGAAAGCAGUUCCUUGUCAUUGUUGGCGUCUUUUAAGUCGUCAGAAAUUUGCUCGGCAUCCUUUAGGCCAGAGCUAGAUACUACUGUGAUAUCCUCCUCGCCGAAAGCUUUCUUCACCAAGAGGCAGCCCAUAUUGAAUUCAUCAGUACGAUUCACAUCCUAUCCACAAUCAAUUUUUGAAACAGAGGAGUUUGAUGGGCAUAUGAUGAUGGAAUAG